UGGGUGGUCCCUCUCCCAGAGGGACUUUACCUGCCCAGAAUACCCUGAUGAAUUAUGUUCUGCCCCAUGUCCACACGCAUCUUAACUCUCCCACAUCUUGCCUCCCAGAACGGAAUUUGCUCCAGGAAUCAUCGUUUCUAGUUUUAACUCUGUUUUUCAGCUCUGUUUCUCUUCCAGAAAGGAGAGGCAAGAAACCAGUGCAUCAAAUCUUGUGUCGGCCCCAUAAGGGAAGCCAGCUGGGACUGUACCUUUUGUAUUCUUCCCUUUCCCUCGGCCCCUCAGCCCCAGUCCCCCAGGCCCUAAUUCUGCGACAUUCAUUCCCUCCUUGUUUUCAGACUCAACCCUUGGUCUCCGUGCCCGGGCUAAGUCUCCUCCCCCAGCCUCAUCUUCCCUCCAGGGAGCCUUCUGGAACCCCCUCCUGGUGCCAGCCUUUGUGUAAAUACGGGCAGUGGCAGAAAGUAAGAGACUGAUAAGAGGGGCAGGAGCCAGCUCCAGGCCAACCAGCCCAAGGCCUGCUUCCCACACUGCACGGCCCAGCAGGGCCGAGAGGAGAGGGACGGAAUCCUGCCAAUUGCAGCUUGUCCCCAGCUGCCCCCGCAGCCCUGCCAGCCCAGCCCUCUCUGGGCUCCUCUCCCUCCGAGAGAGCAUGGACGUUGCCUGCUGGCUAAGGUUUCAUCGCUGCUUUUCCUUCCAAAAUCAUUUUCACUUCAAACGAGGAAGAAGCUGGAAGUCCAGUCUGGGUGGGGUGGGUCCCAGAAAUGAGGGAGGGGGUUGAGGUCGGGUCCACAUGUGCCCUCCUCGCCUUUCUCUGUCCCACAUUUGGGACGUGAACCAGGAAAUUCCACCCUGGAAGGGUACAGGCCAGAAGGAGGGUGUGGCCUAGCGGGCCCUUACAGUGAGCCAGGGCAUGUGGCUUCAAUUCCUGCCUCCCCCACUGACUUAUUUAACCAUGUCCUGCCCUGAGCCUUGGCUUCCUCCCUGUGAAACAGAGACACUUGAAGAGCAGAGGGCUUCCAGGCUGGCUCAGGACCUUUGCACUGUCCGGCCCGAUGUUCUGGUUGCCAUUGGUGAUCCCGAGGGAUGUGCCAUCUCUGAGAUCCAUCUUAAAGGUUUGUAACAGAAUUAUUAAAGCAUGAUUCAACAGUGUGAUGUGACAGCUAAAGAAAGCUAAUGAUUUUGUGCCUUUAAAGAAUAUGGUGUCCAGAAGGAAGCUGAUCAUCCCACUGUCCUUCAUCUUGAUUAGACUCCAUUUGAAAUAGUGCAUGUUCAUUUUUGGAUACCACAUGGCACUAAGGAUGUUGACAAAUAGAAAUGUGUCCAGAAGAGGACCUCCAGGAUGUCAGGGGGACUGGAAACAUGCUAUAAAAGCAUUGAUCAAAGGAAGUGGAGAUGUUUAUUUUGAAGAAGAGAAGGUUUGAAAAUGAGAGGGAAGAGUGGUCAUGACAGUAUGCAGUGCAUGGUUUUGUAACUUUAAUAGAGUUUCCAUGUAAUGUUUUAUAUUAUGAUACCCCAUUCUCCAUCAGGCUGUAAACUCCAUGAGAGUAGACAUCAAUGUUCUAUCCAAGCCAUUUAUCUUCCCUAGAGCACAGUAUUAUGCCCUACACACAGUUGGCGUUUAAUAAAUGAGUUAAUCAAUGAA